rnacentral:rRNA from 1 species
AACGUGCCCAGUAGUGGGGGAUAGCCCGGCGAAAGCCGGAUUAAUACCGCAUACGACCUCAGGGUGAAAGCGGGGGAUUCGCAAGGACCUCGCGCUAUUGGAGCGGCCGAUAUCAGAUUAGCUUGUUGGUGGGGUAAAAGCCUACCAAGGCCGCGAUCUGUAGCUGGUCUGAGGGGACGACCAGCCACACUGGAACUGAGACACGGUCCAGACUCCUACGGGAGGCAGCAGUGGGGAAUUUUGGACAAUGGGCGCAAGCCUGAUCCAGCCAUGCCGCGUGUGG